ensembl:snRNA U7 U7 small nuclear RNA
GAGUGUUACAGUUCUUUUGGAAUUUGUCUAGCAGGUUUUCCAGUUCACAUUGGAAAGCAAAA